rnacentral:rRNA from 1 species
AGGGUGCGAGCGCUGUCCGGAAUCACUGGGCGUAAAGGGCGCGUAGGCGGCGCGGGUAGUCAUCGGUGAAAGUUCAGGGCUCAACUCUGAAUCGGCCGGUGAUACUCCCGUGCUCGAGCACUGUAGAGGCAGGUGGAAUUCCGGGUGUAGCGGUGGAAUGCGUAGAGAUCCGGAAGAACACCGGUGGCGAAGGCGGCCUGCUGGGCAGUAGCUGACGCUGAUGCGCGACAGCGUGGGGAGCAAACAGG